rnacentral:snRNA from 1 species
GUCUCUUUGGGGACAUUCGAUAAAAUUAGAACGAUACAAAGAAGAUUAGCAUGGCCCUACGUAAGAAUAACACGUGAAAAUCAAGAAAUGGUCUACAUUAAU